CGCGGGGUAGAGCAGUUUGGUAGCUCGUCGGGCUCAUAACCCGAAAGUCAGUGGUUCAAAUCCACUCUCCGCUA
rnacentral:tRNA from 1 species